UACGUAGGGUGCAAGCGUUGUCCGGAAUUAUUGGGCGUAAAGAGCUCGUAGGCGGUCUGUCGCGUCUGACUGUGAAAACUCGAGGGCUUAACCCUAGAGCUUGCAGUGGGUACGGGCAGACUAGAGUGCGGUAGGGGAGACUGGAAUUCCUGGUGUAGCGGUGAAAUGCGACAGACUAUCAGGAGGAACACCAUGGCGAAGGCAGCACUCGUGGGA
rnacentral:rRNA from 1 species